CUGGCGCCGCGCCAGGGAGGAGGAGUGGGAGCAGGCGUGACAGGAUGAAGGUCUACGUAUUCAAACUACGUCACACCAUGAGAAAGUAAAAAGAAACAGCGAUGUUGUAGCGGUUUAUCGACACCACUGCAUUUUUGGGCAUGCAACAAUUGGCUUUUAGAGGACACGAUGAGAGGGAAAGUUCCGCUAACAAGGGCAACUACAAUGAGAUUGCGGAGCAACUGGGUUCUACAGUUUGACCCCACUGCUGUCCCUGGCUCCACACACAUCCUGCCCGGCCAUCUAGAUGUUUGAAGGUAGGUGUCUUUUCUGUAGGGAAGCUAAUGAUCCAUCAUGUAUGACAUUCCUGGGAGCUUGUAAACAUAAAUGUUUUUAUUACCAUAUCAUUUUUGUAUGUUCUCUAUAGUUAUGUACUUGAACAUUUUUAAUUUGACCAAUUCAGAACAUUUGGGCAAACUCCUGGCAGAUGUAAUUCUUCACUGGAUCAGUCUGAACCUUUGCACACAUACUGCUGCCAUCUUGUGGACAACAUCUAAAUUCACACCCAUAAUCCUAUAUCAAUGGAUGGCCUUUCUCUUGCAUUUCCAAAUGAUUGUAUUAUCUUUUUCCAGAUCUAAUGUGUUAUAUUUUCCUACAUUAAUUUCAAAUUUCCACAGACUUCCAUAAACUUCAAAGUGUUUCCUUUCAAAUGGUAUCAAGAAUAUGCAUAUCCUUGGUUCAGGUUCUGGAGAUACAGGCAGUUAGAUUUGGGUAUGUCAUUUAGGCAGAAAUUGGAAAAAAGGGUCUGAUCCUUAUUAAGAGAUGAUGACCACUCAGCUACUGUUGUCAUCUCUCUCCGGACAUGAACUGAAGCCACAUUUCAUUUGCCCGGUCAUUCACUAGCAAAUUGAAUGUUUCCUGUCCAAGCACUGUGAGUACACUUAUACAUUUUCUCUCAUUACUGUAUGUAGAGUCAAUCACACAUACAAACAUAAUCAUAUUAUUACACAUCAAUGAUUUUAAUCCUUGCCUGAACUAACUCAUUUUUAGCUCUUUUGUCUAACUGUGUUGUGUUAUUGUUUUUUGUCCUCCCAGUUAAAUCCUGUCCUGCCCUCAGUGGAAGAGUUGAGCUCUCUCCAAACACCAUCCAUCCAUCCAUGAUGAGCCUGUCCUGCACUAAAGUCUAUGAACACCUCAACCCCCGUCCUUCACUGAAGUCGAACCUCUGAACACCUCAACUCAUGCCUCAUACCCUCAUUCAAUCACUGCUGUGAUCCCUUCCCAACACUGGUGAUUAUCAACUUGGCAUGGCACCUUCCAUUGUUGGGAGAAAGAGCAGAGCAGGCCCUAGGGUCAGGAGGAGGAAAACCUUUCAAAAAAUGGCAUGCCCUUCUAAAACUGGUUAUAAUUACAGCUCUGUUUAUGAUAUUAAGAUUCUAACAAUGGCAGUCUGUUAUAUAGACUCAUUUAGGAAAAGUCAAGGAGGGGAGGCAUGACUUUAUAAUUGGCAGAGAAGGAGGACCAGAAGGAGCCGCUGCUCAGUGCAACGCAGCCUCCAUCCUCAUGGAUGAAGACCGCAUGGAGCUGGUGUAGCUAACCAUGGCAGCAGUGGCCCUGCCCUCUCUGGCCAUCCUGACCGGGGCUCAGGAGAUCUCAGACGACUAGUGGAAGGACAUGGUCCAGAAGAUGCUCCAGACUCGCCAAAGCUCAGAAGGCCUGACUAUGGAGCGCAAAUUAGACUGAAUUGCCUCCUUUCCCACAGUGUCUUUAACUGUGCCCUGCAUUUCACCAUCACACUUACCCCAGGGGAGUCUGAGCUGAGGUCCUCUGAACAGUCCUAGGUGUCUCAAUUCUCAAGAUAUGAGAGAAAUUGUGCAAACCCCUUUAUGUCCAAUUCAUAUUAUAUUAGGAUAUAUCUCCUAAAUAUUUGUGUUUGAAAGGAGCCUCUGGGUACUCACUGAUCCUAACCUAGAGGGCGGCAGGUAGCUUAGUGGUUAAGCACAUCGGGCCAAUGACUGAAAGAUUGCUGGUUUGAAUCCCCAAGCCAACUAGGUGAAACAUCUGCCUGUGCCCUUGAGCAUGCCACUUAACCUUAAUUGUUCCAGUACAUUUCUCUGGAUAAGAGUGUCUGUAAAAUAUGUAUCUUUUUUUCAUGAGCAGUCAAAAAUACUGACUGAGCAGUUCUAGUGUUAAAUGGCUGUGGGCUAGCAGACUGGUUCAUACUGUGUACAUUACUGUUCAUACUGUGUUGUCAUUGAAUUAAAAUUAUUUUAAUGGUUGUCCCUAACGACCUGAUUCAUACUGUAGUUUGUAGCCUACAUUUCUGUACCAUGCAUAUUAUUGUCUGUUUAGCAUUGCUGAAGCCAACUAGCCAAGUCCAUAGAUUAUAGGCACUCAAUAAAUAGAUAUGAA
ensembl:lncRNA